ensembl:misc_RNA
UUGACAGCCCUGAAGACUGAAAUUCCCAAUUUAUCCACAGAACAACUACCGUGCAGCCAAGGCAAUAAUCCUUCCAAAUACCUCAACCCUGACCAGGAGUGAUCAGAGAGAGGCUGGGGCUUCAUUUCCAUUCAGUCUUUGGCCUCU